rnacentral:rRNA from 1 species
UACAGUGGUCCCAAGCGUUGUUCGGAUUCACUGGGCGUAAAGGGUGCGUAGGUGGCUUGGUAAGUUUGAUGUGAAAUCUCCGGGCUUAACCCGGAAAAAUGCAUUGAAUACUAUUUGAGCUCGAGGUUUGGAGGGGGGACUGGAAUUCUUGGUGUAGCAGUGAAAUGCGUAGAUAUCAAGAGGAACACCAGUGGCGAAGGCGAGUCCCUGGACAACACCUGACACUGAGGCACGAAAGCUAGGGGAGCAAACAGG